rnacentral:rRNA from 1 species
CCUACGGGUGACAGCAGUGAGGAAUAUUGGUCAAUGGCCGGAAGGCUGAACCAGCCAAGCCGCGUGAAGGACGAAGGUGCCAAGCAUUGUAAACUUCUUUUGUCAAGGGACAAAAUCAGGCUCGAGAGCCUGACAGAGGGUACUUGAAGAAAAAGCAUCGGCUAACUCCGUGCCAGCAGCCGCGGUAAUACGGGGGAUGCGAGCGUUAUCCGGACUUACAGGGGGAAAAGGGAGCGUAGGGGGGGAUGCAAGUUGGGUGUCAAAACUACGGGCUCAACGGGGAGUCGCACUUAAAACUGCAGUUCUUGAGUGAAGGAGAGGUAGGCGGAAUUCCUAGUGUAGCGGUGAAAUGCGUAGAUAUUAGGAGGAACACCAGUGGCGAAGGCGGCCUGCUGGGCUUUUACUGACGCUGAGGCUCGAAAGUGUGGGGAGCAAACAGGAUUAGAUACCCUGGUAGUC